rnacentral:lncRNA from 1 species
GCGGGCGCCGCGGCGGGCGGGCGAGUGCGAGUGCGCGUGCGCAGGCUGAGCGAGCCGAGGGGCGGGAGGCGGGGAGGGGUCACAUGGCGCUGCGCUGUGGCCACCGUUGGGCGAGGCGGGUCAGGUGGUUGGCCGCGCUGCGGGGAGGCGCCGCGCGCCCUGUCAUGGCGCAGCUGCCAGGCCAGCCCAGCCCAGGCCAGCCCAGCCCGCGGCGCGCCCCCUGUCGCGGGCGUGAGGCCAACGUCCUGCCAUGUGACACCUGCCUGCCCGCUCUGGUCCUGCCCUGCAGACACAGCCUUCCUGCCCAGCUGCAGAAACAAUGCUGGCCCCAUUUGAGCCUCCAGCAAUUGCCACAGCUCCCUUUUUCUGUCAUUGUUAAGGCAAUAAUGAAUGCUGAACUCUUUCCAUGA